rnacentral:rRNA from 1 species
CUAAACGUACUCAGUUCGGACUGUGGUCUGCAACCGACCACACGAAGCUGGAAUCGCUAGUAAUCGCGAAUCAGAAUGUCGCGGUGAAUACGUUCCCGGGUCUUGUACACACCGCCCGUCACACCAUGGGAGUCAGCAACGCCCGAAGUCAGUGACCUAACCGAAAGGAAGGAGCUGCCGAAGGCGGGGCCGGUAACUGGGGUGAAGUCGUAACAAGGUAAC